UAUAAACAUUUCUUUUACAAUUCUAGCAACACAUUGACAUGCAACAACUUCUAGGGAAAAAAAAUGACAGAGCAUAACUUCCAACAUAAACUCUCUGUAUACUAAUACUUUGCAUAUCCAGUUAGAACAAAUUCAGAUGAAGAGGCAGACAAAACAUAAGACAGAAAUAAAUAAAUGUUGAUCUGAUUUUAUUCUGCACAAAAAAGCGGAUGGCUGGGGUAGAUUGUAUUAUUGACCAA
rnacentral:lncRNA from 1 species